GCGGCCAGCGCGGCCGUGGAAGCGCUGACGGCGCGGCUGGCGGCCGCGCAUGCUGCCGCGGCUCCGUCGAUCGUCGCGGUGGUGCCGCCC
rnacentral:tRNA from 1 species